CAGCCAGUGGCGGAGCGGUCAAUCAUCUCCGUAUCAAGGAGACUGUCGCGGGUUCGAAUCCCACCUGGUUGG
rfam:Operophtera brumata OBRT01_Sc24213, whole genome shotgun sequence.